CGGAUGGUCGCGGCGAAAGCUGAGGAAAGUCCGGGCUUCGAAGGGCAGGGUGCCGGAUAACGUCCGGCGGAGGUGACUCCCGGGAAAGUGCAACAGAAAUUAUACCGCCCGACUAAUGUCGGGUAAGGGUGGAAUGGCGGUGUAAGAGACCACCGGUUUUCCGGUAACGGAAAAUGCUGUGCAAACCCCACCUGAAGCAAGGCCAAACAGGGGACCAUACGGCGGCCCGUCGUGUCUCCGGGUAGGCCGCGUUCCGGAAUGGGAACAUUUCGGAGGAGCUGUCCGGUGACGGACAGUCAAGAUAGAUGACCAUCUAUUACAUAACCCGGCUUAUAGUGCUGCUCU
rnacentral:RNase_P_RNA from 1 species